rnacentral:rRNA from 1 species
GUUGAUUCUGGCUCAGAUUGAACGCUGGCAGGAUGCUUUACACAUGCGAAGUCGAACGGCAGCACGGACUCGGUCUGGUGGUGGUGGCGAACGGGUGAGUAAUGUAUCGGAACGUGCCUAGUAGCGGGGGAUAACUACGCGAAAGCGGCAACUAAUACCACGCCCGCCCUUCAAGGGGAAAGCAGGGGACCUUCGGGCCUCACUGUAAACGGCCGAUAUCGGAUUAGCUAGUUGGUGGGGUAACGGCUCACCAAGGCGACGAUCCGUAGCUGGUUUGAAGGACGACCAGCCACGCUGGGACUGAGACGCGGCCCAGACUCCUACAGGGAGGCAGCAGUGAGAGAUUUUUGGACAAUGGGGAAACCCUGAUCAGCCAUCCCGCGUGUGCGAUGAGGGCCUUCAGGUUGUAAAGCACUUUUGGCAGGAAAGAAACGGCACAGGAUAAUACACGAUGCAACUGACCAGUACCUGCAGAAUAGCACCGGCUAACUACGUGCUGGCAACCGCGGUAAUACGUAGGGUGCGAAGCGUUAAUCAGAUUACUGGGCGUAAAGCGUGCGCAGGCGGUUCGGAAAGAAGAUGUGAAAUCCCAGAGCUUAACUUUGGAACUGCAUUUUUAACUACCGAGCUAGAGUGUGUCAGAGGAGGUGGAAUUCCGCAUGUAGCGGUAAAGUACGUGAAUAUGCGGAAGGGCUACCGAUGGCGAAGGCAGCCUCCUGGGAUACUUACUGGCAACUCCAUGCACGAAAGCGUAGAGGCAAACAGGUUAGAUACUGGUGAUCCCGCCUAAACGAUGUCAACUAGCUGUUAGGCCUUCGGAGCCUUGGUGACGCAACCUUUUAUGACAAAAGUUAAACCAUGGAAACCUGGUCACGCAAGAUUGGCUUUCAAAGAAAUUGACGGGGACCCGCACAAGCGGUGGAUGAUGUGGAUUGAAUUCGAUGCAACGCGAAAAACCUUACCUACCCUUGACAUGUCUGGAAUCCCGAAGAGAUUUGGGAGUACUUCGCAAGAGAACAGAACACAGGUGCUGCGUGGCUGUCGUCAGCUCGUGUCGCGAGAUGUUAGGUUAAGUCCCGCAACGAGCGCAACCACUUGUCAUUAGUUGCUACGAAGGGCAUAAUACAGGACUGCCGGUGAUGUAAAACCGGAGGAAGGUGAGGAUGACGUCAAGCUCAUGGCCCACUAUGGGUAGGGCUUCACACGUCAUACAAUGGUCGGGACAGAGGGUCAUGCCCAACCCGCGAGGAAGGCCAAUCCCAGAAGACGAUGCAAUAGUCCGGAUCGCAGUCUGCAACUCAGCUGCGUGAAGUCAGAAUCGCUACUAGUAAUCGCGGAUCAGCAUGUCGCGGUGAAUACGUUCCGGGUCUUGUACACCGUCACCGCCAUGGGGUGGGUUUACCAGAAGAGUAGUUAGCCUAACCGUAAGGAGGCGAUUACCACACGGUAGGAUUCAUGACUGGGGUGAAGUCGUAACAAGGUAG